GCCGUCGUGGUGGAAUUGGUAGACACGCUAUCUUGAGGGGGUAGUGUCGAAAGACGUAUGAGUUCGAGUCUCAUCGACGGCA
rnacentral:tRNA from 1 species